UACGGGGGGGGCAAGCGUUGUUCGGAAUUACUGGGCGUAAAGGGUCUGUAGGUGGCUCGCUAAGUCAGACGUGAAAUCCCUCAGCUUAACUGGGGAACUGCGUCUGAGACUGGCAAGCUUGAGUGCAGGAGAGGAACGCGGAAUUCCAGGUGUAGCGGUGAAAUGCGUAGAUAUCUGGAGGAACACCGGUGGCGAAGGCGGCGUUCUGGACUGCAACUGACACUGAUAGACGAAAGCCAGGGGAGCAAACGGG
rnacentral:rRNA from 1 species